UACAGAGGGGGCAAGCGUUGUUCGGAAUUACUGGGCGUAAAGGGCGCGUAGGCGGCACAGCAAGUCGGGAGUGAAAGCCCGGGGCUCAACCCCGGAACUGCUUUCGAAACUGCUGAGCUAGAGUGCGGAAGGGGCAACCGGAAUUCCCAGUGUAGCGGUGAAAUGCGUAGAUAUUGGGAGGAACACCUAUGGCGAAGGCAGCUCGCUGGGACGUUACUGACGCUGAGACGCGAAAGCGUGGGGAGCAAACAGG
rnacentral:rRNA from 1 species